rnacentral:rRNA from 1 species
UAGGGAAUCUUCGGCAAUGGGGGGAACCCUGACCGAGCAACGCCGCGUGAGUGAAGAAGGCUUUCGGAUCGUAAAGCCCUGUUGUUAAGGAAGAACGAGUGUGAGAAUGGAAAGUUCAUGCUGUGACGGUACUUAACCAGAAAGGGACGGCUAACUACGUGCUAGCAGCCGCGGUAAUACGUAGGUCCCGAGCGUUGUCCGGAUUUUUUGGGCGUAAAGCGCGCGCAGGUGGUUUGGAAAGUCUGAUGUGAACGCCCACGGCUGAACCGUGGAGGGUCAUUGGAAACUAAUAAACUUGAGUGCAGGAGGGAGAAGUCGAAUUCCUAGUGUGGCGGUGAAAUGCGUAGAGAUUAGGAAGCACACCGAUGGCAAAAGCGGCUUUUUGGCCUGCAACUGACACUGAGGCUCGAAAGCGUGGGGAGCAAACAGG